CCGGGGGCUUAAACCAGGAUCCUUACACCAGUCCUUGCACUUUGUGCCACCUGCGCAUAACCCGCUGUGCUACCGCCAGACUCCCUUCUUUUUCUUUUUUUUUUUUUGCCACCAGAGUUAUUGCUGGGGCUUGGUGUCUACAUGGCUCCUCCUGUGGUCACUUUUUUCCUUUUUCUUUUCUGACAGAGAUAGGGAGGCAGAGAGAUAAAGAGGAAGAGGCGGGUGGGGGGAAUAGACCUAUAACGAUGUUUCACUGCUCAUGAGCCUUCUCUACUGCAGGCGGCACCUGGGCUCUUGAAGCUAGGCACUCACUCGUGGUAAUGUGUGCUCUGUACCAGGGAUUCAUUGGAACUUUGAACCUACAUGAUUCUACUUCUCCAGGUGGACCCCCCUCCCUCAUGAAGGCAAUGGAAAUUAACUACUCAGGAGGGCAGCUCUUUCCCAGGCUGCUAACGUUACGGGAUCUCUGCUGAAGUGCAAGCGGAGCUGGUAGAAAUCGGAUUUCCAUAUCCUCUCCUAAGCUGUGUGUCAAGGAGAGAGGGACCAAAACACCGCUCUUCCAACCAUGGACCUCCCUUGUGCUGUACUAUGUGCUUCCAUGUGAUGCCAGGAAUUGAGCCUAAGGCCUCAGGCACGGUUGGAGGUUCAGCCUAGGAAUUUCCGCCUGCAGAGGCCUGGUGCCACUGGAGCCACGCUCUUCUCCACCAUGCUGGAUUCUAAUCACUUCAUGUCAGCAGUGAAGGCCAGCUCAGACAUGCUGCUCACCUGUCUCCUUCGUAAA